rnacentral:rRNA from 1 species
UACGUAGGCAGCGAGCGUUGUUCGGAAUUACUGGGCGUAAAGAGUGUGUAGGCGGUGUUCCCAGUCUGUUGUGAAAUCUCCCGGCUUAACUGGGAGGGUGCAGCGGAAACUAGAAUGCUAGAGGGUGGGAGAGGUAAGCCGGAAUUCCUGGUGUAGCGGUGAAAUGCGAUAGAUAUCAGGAGGAACACCUGUGGUGUAGACAGCUACUGGACCACUCUGACGCUGAGACACGAAAGCGUGGGUAGCAAACAGG